GUUGAUCCUGCGGGAGACUGCUGCUAUUGGAAUUCGACUAAGCCAUGCAAGUCAAGGGGUUCUUCGGAACACCGGCAAAAUGCUCAGUAACACGUCGAUAAUCUGCCCUUUAGUCUGGGAUAGCCUUGGAAAACUGAGGGUAAACCCGGAUAGGAGUAUUUGUCUGGAAUGAUCUUUCUCUGAAAGGUAACGCUAAAGGAUGGGUCGGCGGCGGAUUAGGUUGUUGGCGGGGUAACGGCCCACCAAGCCGAAGAUCCGUAGGGGCCUUGAGAGAGGUAGCCCCGAGAAGGACACUGAGAUACUGGUCCUAGCCCUACGGGGUGCAGCAGGCGCGUAACCUUUACAAUGCACGAAAGUGUGAUAGGGGAAUUCCAAGUGCCAAUACUUUGUAUUGGCUUUUGUUAAGACUAAGAAUCUUGGCGAAUAAGUGGUGGGAAAGACUGGUGCCAGCCGCCGCGGUAACACCAGCGCCACGAGUGGGAGUCGCUUUUAUUGGGCCUAAAGCGUCCGUAGCCGGUUUAGUAAAUCCUUUGUGAAAUUGUUAAGCUUAACUUAACAACGAGCAGGGGACACUGCUGAACUAGAAACCGGGAGGAGUUGAAGGUAUUCUGGGGGGAGCGGUAAAAUGCUAUAAUCCCCAGCAGACCACCUGUGGCGAAGGCGUUCAACUAGAACGGAUUUGACGGUGAGGGACGAAAGCCAGGGGAGCGAACCGGAUUAGAUACCCGAGUAGUCCUGGCAGUAAACGCUGCGAGCUAGGUGUUGCAUAUUCUUCGUGAAUGUGCAGUGUCGAAGCGAAGGUGUUAAGCUCGCCGCCUGGGAAGUAUGGUCGCAAGACUGAAACUUAAAGGAAUUGGCGGGGGAGCACUACAAGGGGUGCGGCGUGCGGUUUAAUCUAACUCAACGCAGAGAAUCUCACCAGAAGCGACGGCAGGAUGAAAGUCAGGCUGAUGGUCUUACUUGACGAGCCGAGAGGUAGUGCAUGGCCGUCGUCAGCUCGUGCCGUAAGGUGUCCUCUUAAGUGAGGCAACGAGCGAGACCUGUACCCACAAUUGCUAGCGACUCUUUUAGAGGAUCGAGCACUUUGUGGGGACUGCCUUGGAAACAAGGAGGAAGGUGCAGGCUACGGUAGGUCUGUAUGCUCCGAAUCUUCUGGGCUACACGCGCGCAACAAUGGUAGGGACAAUGGGAUGCAACUCCGAAAGGAGAAGCUAAACCUCUAAACCCUAUCCCAGUCCAGAUUGAGGGUUGAAACUCACCCUCAUGACGCCGGAAUCCCUAGUAACCAGACUUCAUCAUAGUCCGGUGAAUGUGUCCCUGCUCCUUGCACACACCGCCCGUCAAACCAACCGAGCAGGGUUUAGAUGAGUCUCAGCCUAUUAGCUAAGCCGAAUCUAAGCUCAGUGAGGUGGGUUAAGUCGUCACAAGGUA
rnacentral:rRNA from 1 species